rnacentral:lncRNA from 10 species
UCCAGCCUUCCGUCUUCAAGCAACCAUCCUCAAAUUUCAUUUGGACUUGUACUCCUCCCUCAAUCUCUAAACCACUUUAAGCCUAUCAGCCCAUUAUCCUUCCCUGGCCACAAGUAUUGGUUCCAGGGUGGAAUGUGAGCAAAAGUGCUAAAUCAGUGAAUUUUAGAUGUGUUGUGGGGGGUACUUGAAAGAGCUCACUAUUUCUUAUUGCCUUUAUCCUCAGAGGCUUGAGACCCUGGAGUUAGUACAGUCUCUUGCCACCACCAGGACUGAAAAAGGAAGCAGCAUUGAAGAGGCAGAGCUGGGAGACGGAGAGAAACUGCUGGCAUGAUUUGAGCUCAGUUCUAGGUCAGUUUAUUCGAAGAAAAUCCUGAGGUUUCAAGAUGAGCUGUUCAAAUCGUUUACCAUUUGCACCUAUUUAUUAGUGUGAAUUAGAAUUUUUUUCAAUAUCAUGCAAGCAAUGCAAAACACAAAAGUAAAAUUGAAGAUUGAGACUGCAUUUAUAUCAUCUAUAAACCAGAGUUCACAUUUUUGUACUCAUUCAAACAGUGUCAUUUUUCUCAUUAAUUCAGCUUUAUAGAAAGUAAAUGUUACAAAUAUGAACUUCUAAAAUGUUACAAAUAUGAACUUCUAAAACAGUUACACUGUUCUCAUCUCUUUUAUACAUAGAGUUUUUACAUGAUAAUGAUUUAGAAAGAAGUUGGUCCUUUUAUGAAAAUGUUUUACAAUUCUUCUUGUCAGGGGUUGUUUCUUUUCGAGAAACAGAAACCUACUCAAGCUAGCUCAAAGUAAAUUUUCACAAUUUUCAGACUAAUAUUAUUGGAAAACAAAAGCGAUUCAAUUCAUUUGCUCAAAAUGUCCUUAGCAUGACCUUCAAGGCCCUAGGUAAUAUCUCCACUACAUCUCUCUCUGAUCUGAAGUUCCACUAACCUCCUCCUGGCCACUUGUGCACUAGCCCCAGUGAUAUCACAUGCAACCAACAUAGCCUUCUAGGCCCACCACUUCAGCAGGUGCUGUCAAAGAUAUUGACAACAACUCAAAAGGAGUGGAGGAGGCUUCUGCUAGACCCAAACAGUGUCUCCUUCGAAAACCAAAACAAAACAAAACACUGAGUAAGGAUUCUUUGAAUUGCAAGUCACUGAAACCCCAAUCCAAAUUUGCUUUAAGAAAAAAUCUACCGACUCAAACAAGACAGAGAUAUUUUAGAUUCAAGCAAGGAUUGAUCCAGAGCUUGAAUGACUUUUACCCAAGAGUUUCUGGUUUUGUUUUUGUCCUUACCAUUUCUCAACUUGACGUCCUCAGUGUUUUCAUGGUUUCAGACUGCCUGCCAGAAUCCAAGUAGUCCUCAAAAGUGCUAAUGGAUUGACUUGGCUCACACUGAAUUAACUACAAGUGUUAAAGGAAUGCGAUAUGUUGAUUGGUGUAGGCUUUGGUCACAUGUUCUACCCCUAGAAUUAGGAAUACAAUCAACUGUAUGAGGUCCACAUGAGCUUAGACCAGGGGAGAGGAGAUUCCACCACCAGAAAACCUGGAUGCUAAACACCACGACCAAUUCCUACCAUCCUUGAUGUGGCACUCAACUUAGUGAGACUGGAAAUAAUUUCAUACAAGGUGAAAGCUUCUAAUCUAUAAUUUUAAUUUAAUUUCAAUUUUUGCUCUGCUAUCUUUACUUAAAUAUUGACUAUUAAAACCAAACCAUUUUUUUUCAAUAGUCUGUAGAUAAAACAUCAUUACACUUCAUAUUUAUGCUAUAUUCUUUACUUUUGGUUGAACGACCAAUUCUACCAAUCUACCCUCAGUGAAGUGCCCACAAGACCCUAUUCUCUAGACACGUACAUCAGGAGGGGAAGUGAACAUUUAAUCAAUUAAUAUUUGCUGGCUAAUGCUUUGACAUUUACAAAGUCUGGGACACAUCUGCAUGAAACUCUAAAAUAAAAUUGGGCAAGUGAUUAAGAAUAAGAUAAUGAAAAGAAGCCAACUGGAUUUAAGAAAUAGAUGCAUUUCUUAGUCAUUAUGAGAUUUGAAAUGAUGCUCAUUGUCUCCUCAGUUUGUGAAAACUUUUUGUCAGAUCAUUCUACACACCAUUAACAAAACAGAGAGCUGCACUUCAUGGAUUCAAGAUCAAGUGACUGGUGAAAUAGUUCAGCAUUCAAUAGAUUGUCUAGGCAUUUUGUGCAACUAUGCCUUAACAAAUAGAAAAUUCAAAUCCCAACUUAUUUUGUGUUAUGACGAUUUUUAAAAUUAAAUUACUCUUUGCCAAGAGCAGUCAGCAAUUGUUAUGUAGCAGAGAAAUAUGCCAUAAAAGUUGAAAAAUUGGGCUCUGGUGUCAGACUGCCUGGGUUCAAGUCUUAAAUCUGUACUUAUUAUUAUCCCUUAAUUUCUUUAUCAGAAAAAAAAAUCAAAAUAGUACUAUUAUCUAAUAAGAGUUUUCAUAAGGAUUAAUGAGUCAAUCCAUAGGAAGCUCUUAGAAGUUUCUGGAAAGCAGAGUGCAAGGAGUGUUAGUUACAAUUACUAUUCUCCACUUUUUCUCUCUCUCUCUUCUUCUCUCUCCC